rnacentral:rRNA from 1 species
GAUGUACGCUGGCGGCGUGCUUAACACAUGCAAGUCGAACGGUGAACGAGGGAGCUUGCUCCCUCCGGAUCAGUGGCGAACGGGUGAGUAACACGUGAGCAAUCUGCCCUGGACUCUGGGAUAAGCGUUGGAAACGACGUCUAAUACCGGAUACGAGGCGUGGGGGCAUCCCCAACGCCUGGAAAGAACUUCGGUCCAGGAUGAGCUCGCGGCCUAUCAGCUUGUUGGUGAGGUAACGGCUCACCAAGGCGACGACGGGUAGCCGGCCUGAGAGGGUGACCGGCCACACUGGGACUGAGACACGGCCCAGACUCCUACGGGAGGCAGCAGUGGGGAAUAUUGCACAAUGGGCGCAAGCCUGAUGCAGCAACGCCGCGUGAGGGACGACGGCCUUCGGGUUGUAAACCUCCUUUAGCAGGGAAGAAGCGAAAGUGACGGUACCUGCAGAAAAAGCACCGGCUAACUACGUGCCAGCAGCCGCAGUAACAC